GUGGACUGAAGGUAGACGCCAGCACCGGCCCGAAGGCUGGGGCGCUUAAUCAGCCGCUACACGUCAGCACGCGGCCACGAGCCCUGCUGGGGUCACGCGGGCAUCGGCUCGCCCGCAGCGGGACAGUAGCACAUCAGAGGAUCCUACGCAUUAUCCCCGGGAAAAUCCAAGCCUCCUGGGACAAGGUACAGAAGCACAAGCACAUUGGAAUUCUUGCAUGGAUCCCAUGGUCAAGAUUUAAAAACAACAAAUAAAGCCAGGGCUGGACUGGCCAUCUGGCAUACCGGACAAUUUCCCAGUGGGCCCAUGGUUAUGUGGGCCAGCAAAAUGUUUGGUGGGGUACCCUGCCCCCCACUUGGCAAAGUGUAACUCAAAGUCCCGGGUGGGAUUUUAAUCUCAGGCCUGAACAAGACUAUCACAUACAGAGUUACAUUACAAUAGAAAGUCUUAUUUAUGUUCUAUUUAUAUUAUAUUUAUUACUAUUUACUACUAUUUCUUGCAAGACCGACAUCUCAUCAUAUGACCCAUGCAUCAUACAGCAGAAGACCUUGGCUUGACAGUGGAUUUUGAAAUGUGAAAUCCUCUGAAAAAUGAACACCAGCUUUCAUAUAUGAAUAUGAGAAGAGCUCGUCUUCGUUCUUCCUCAUACCCAUGUCCUUGUCGAUACUCCACUUGCCGUUAUGCUACUCACAGAUGGACUACCUCGACCAUACUCCGACCGUAAGCACUGGUGCUGAUUAAUGCUCUGUGCGAUAGCCUGAGUGAAUUUUGACUUCUGCGAGAUUCCUACUGAAUGUAUAGUGGCGAGCAGGGUAGAUGGGGGUCAGGAAGUCGAUGCUGUGAAUGUCUCAGUGAAAAAGCACCCCCUCAGUCCCCCAGGCAUUCAGGCUGCUUGCUGAUUUACAUCAGGACAGUUAUCAUUCUGUCCAGAAGCAGACAGUGAUUAAUUACUUUUGCCAUUUUUGCCCAAAAAAAAUUAUAAAAAAUUUAAUGAAGA